UUCAUGUCAUAGCUUAUAUAUUGAUGACAGUAAACAAUUUUUAUAAUAAUUGCGAUUCUUUACACGUUUUCCACAGUACCUACUUAUUUACGGGCAAUAAUAUUGUGUUUUAGGUGUAUUGUAACUACUUAAUUGUAAGUUACGGUAAUUGUUCGACGACAGUUGUGUAUUUGUUUGACCUGAUUGAAUAUGCACCAUCGAGUGAUUCGAGCGAUGGAAAUUCGUGGAAUUAAUUAAUUGAAUGUAUCCAACUACGGAAUUUUAAAACUAAUCAUUUUAACAAAGUUGUUUAAUUUUCUUUGGUGACUAAAUUGAAAAAUGUUAGAUCAAUGUUUAAAACUAUUGAUGAAAAUAAUUCUCAUUUUUUGUAUAGUAUAUAUUUGUUAUGAUAUGUUGUUAAUUAUGUUCAAAAUAAUUUUAUUAUUUUUUUUAUAUUACACAUUGAAAUCACUGUUUAAAUAAUAAUUAAUGGAAUUGUUAUUCAUGUUUAAUGAUAACUGUACUUAAUAGUAACUUAAAAAACUGUGACAGAAAUAUCGCGUACCAACUCUUCAUUCUUACACACAAACACCGCACAAAACAAAAUGUAUGGAAUAAUAACGCUAGAAUGUUAUAUGACGUAUUGAAAUACAUCAUAUUCAAUUGA